GCCAGGCAUGGUGGCUCAUGCCUAUAAUCCCAGCACUUUCGGAGGCCGAGGUGGGAGGAUCACUUGAGCCCAGGAGUUUGAGGCCAGCCUGGGCAACACAGUGAGACCCCAUCUCUA
rnacentral:SRP_RNA from 1 species